rnacentral:rRNA from 1 species
UAAGGAAUAUUGCGCAAUGGGCGACAGCCUGACGCAGCGACGCCGCGUGGGGGAUGAAGGUCUUCGGAUUGUAAACCCCUUUCGGCAGGGAAGAUGGAACGGGCAACCGUUCGGACGGUACCUGCAGAAGCAGCCACGGCUAACUUCGUGCCAGCAGCCGCGGUAAUACGAAGGUGGCAAGCGUUGCUCGGAUUUACUGGGCGUACAGGGAGCGUAGGCGGUUGGGUAAGCCCUCCGUGAAAUCUCCGGGCCUAACCCGGAAAGUGCGGAGGGGACUGCUCGGCUAGAGGAUGGGAGAGGAGCGCGGAAUUCCCGGUGUAGCGGUGAAAUGCGUAGAGAUCGGGAGGAAGGCCGGUGGCGAAGGCGGCGCUCUGGAACAUUUCUGACGCUGAGGCUCGAAAGCGUGGGGAGCAAACAGGAUUAGAUACCCUGGUAGUCCACGCCUUAAACGAUGGAUACUAAGUGUCGGCGGGUUACCGCCGGUGCCGCAGCUAACGCAGUAAGUAUCCCGCCUGGGAAGUACGGCCGCAAGGUUG